rnacentral:rRNA from 1 species
UACAGAGGUCUCAAGCGUUGUUCGGAUUCAUUGGGCGUAAAGGGUGCGUAGGUGGCGCCGUAAGUCAGGUGUGAAAUCUCGGGGCUCAACCCCGAAACUGCACUUGAUACUGCGGUGCUCGAGUACUGGAGAGGAGAUUGGAAUUUACGGUGUAGCAGUGAAAUGCGUAGAUAUCGUAAGGAAGACCAGUGGCGAAGGCGAAUCUCUGGACAGUUCCUGACACUGAGGCACGAAGGCCAGGGGAGCAAACGGG